rnacentral:rRNA from 1 species
GAGUAACACGUGGGUAACCUGCCUGUAAGACUGGGAUAACUCCGGGAAACCGGAGCUAAUACCGGAUAGUUCCUUGAACCGCAUGGUUCAAGGAUGAAAGACGGUUUCGGCUGUCACUUACAGAUGGACCCGCGGCGCAUUAGCUAGUUGGUGGGGUAAUGGCUCACCAAGGCGACGAUGCGUAGCCGACCUGAGAGGGUGAUCGGCCACACUGGGACUGAGACACGGCCCAGACUCCUACGGGAGGCAGCAGUAGGGAAUCUUCCGCAAUGGACGAAAGUCUGACGGAGCAACGCCGCGUGAGUGAUGAAGGUUUUCGGAUCGUAAAGCUCUGUUGUUAGGGAAGAACAAGUGCGAGAGUAACUGCUCGCACCUUGACGGUACCUAACCAGAAAGCCACGGCUAACUACGUGCCAGCAGCCGCGGUAAUACGUAGGUGGCAAGCGUUGUCCGGAAUUAUUGGGCGUAAAGGGCUCGCAGGCGGUUUCUUAAGUCUGAUGUGAAAGCCCCCGGCUCAACCGGGGAGGGUCAUUGGAAACUGGGAAACUUGAGUGCAGAAGAGGAGAGUGGAAUUCCACGUGUAGCGGUGAAAUGCGUAGAGAUGUGGAGGAACACCAGUGGCGAAGGCGACUCUCUGGUCUGUAACUGACGCUGAGGAGCGAAAGCGUGGGGAGCGAACAGGAUUAGAUACCCUGGUAGUCCACGCCGUAAACGAUGAGUGCUAAGUGUUAAGGGGGUUUCCGCCCCUUAGUGCUGCAGCUAACGCAUUAAGCACUCCGCCUGGGGGAGUACGGUCGCAAGACUGAAACUCAAAGGAAUUGAC